GGCAUACUCCCCCCGUUCCGAAUUACUUGUCGCACAUAUGGAUGUAUCUGGAUGUAUUCUAAUUCUAGAUACAUCCAUUUCAGCGACAAGUAAUUUGGAACGGAGGGAGUAGAUC
rfam:Triticum aestivum genome assembly, contig: Triticum_aestivum_CS42_TGACv1_scaffold_032509_1BL